CAGUUCCACCUGUUUCUAGUCUUUGCUCAACGAGGCUAACAGUUAUAACCUGUUUGCAGUUUUCAUGCUAAGCUAGGCUAACAGUUCUAACCUGUUUCUAGUCUUUAUGCUAUGCUAGGGUAGCUAUUUUCCUCUGUUUCCAGUCUUUAUGCUAAGCUAGGCUAACAGUUCUAACCUGAUUUGUCUUUCUGCUAAGCUAGGCUAACAGUUCCCACCUGUUUCCAGCCUUUGUGCUAAGCUCGGCGAACAGUUCCCACCUGUUUCCAGUCUUUGCUAAACUAGGCUAACAGUUCUAACCUGUUUCCAGUCGUUGUGCUAAGCUAGGCUAACAGUUCCACCUGUUUCCAGUCUUUGCUAAACAAGGUAACAGUUCUCACCUGUUUCCAGUCUUUGCUAAACUAGGCUAACAGUUCUAACCUGUUUCUAGUCUUUAUGCUAUGCUAGGGUAGCUGUUUUCUUCUGUUUCCAGUCUUUAUGCUAAGCUAGGCUAACAGUUCUAACCUGUUUUAUCUUUUUGCUAAGUUAGGCUAACAGUUCCCACCUGUUUCCAGUCUGUGUGCUAAGCUAGGCUAACAGUACUAACCUGCUAUCAGUCUUUAUGCUAAGCUAGGCUAACAGUUCCCACCUGAUUCCAGUCUUUAUGCUAAGCUAGGCUCACAGUUCUAAUCUGUUUCAUCUUUCUGCUAACAGUUCCCACCUGUUUCCAGUCUUUAUGUUAAGCUAGUCUAACCGUUCCCACCUGUUCCCAGCCUUUAUGCUAAGAUAGGCUAACAGUUCUAACCUGUUUCAUCUUUUCUGCUAAGCUAGGCUAACAGUUCUCACCUGUUUCCAGUCGUUCGGCUAAGCUAGGCUAACAGUUCUAACCUGUUUCCAGUCUUUCUGCUAAGCUAGGCUAAAAGUUCUAACCUGUUUCCAGUCUUUGUUCUAAGGUAGGCUAACAGUUCCCACCUGUUUCUAGUCUUUAUGCUAAACUACGCCAACAGUUCUAACCUGUUUCCAGUCUCUAUGCUAAGCUAGGCUAACAGUUCUAACCUGUUGUGUCUUUCUGCUAAGCUAGGCUAACAGUUCUAACCUGUUUUCUCUUUCUGCUAACCUAGGCUAACAGUUCCCACCUGUUGCCAGCCUUUUUUGCGACGGCUAGCAGUUCCCACCUGUUGCCAGCCUUUUUUGCGACGAUGCUGGGAGACAAAGCAGUGGACAUCCAGAGUCGAGAGAUGCUGAUGGACGGAGCGGUGGACAUCCACAGAUGCUGAUGGACAGAGCGGUGGACCUGCACAGGUG